GAUGAACGCUGGCGGCGUGCCUAAUACAUGCAAGUCGAGCGAACAGACGAGGAGCUUGCUCCUCUGACGUUAGCGGCGGACGGGUGAGUAACACGUGGAUAACCUACCUAUAAGACUGGGAUAACUUCGGGAAACCGGAGCUAAUACCGGAUAAUAUAUUGAACCGCAUGGUUCAAUAGUGAAAGACGGUUUUGCUGUCACUUAUAGCUGGAUCCGCGCGGCAUUAGCUAGUUGGUAAGGUAACGGCUUACCAAGGCAACGAUGCGUAGCCGACCUGAGAGGGUGAUCGGCCACCCUGGAACGUGGACACGGUCCAGGCUCCUACGGGAGGCAGCAGUAUGGAAUCGUCCGCAAUGGGCGAGAGCCUGACGGAGCGACGCCACGUGAGUGACGAAGGUCUUCGGAUCGUAAUACUGUGUUAUUAGGGAAGAACAAAUGUGUAAGUAACUAUGCACGUCUUGACGGUACCUAGUCAGAAAGCCACGGCUAACUACGUG
rnacentral:rRNA from 1 species